AGGUAGUACUUAAUAAAGAAAACCUAUAUAGUUUGGCGGCACUUCAUCUUAUUAGAGGAAUUUGUCUUUUAAUCGAUAAUCCCCGUUAACUUUCACUUUAAAUAAAAGCUGAUAUACCGCCAUUACAAGAAUAUAUUUAAAAAUAUUAUUCAAAAUAAUAUUCUAAAAAAUUAGGUCAAGGUGUGGCUUAUAUUAAAGUUAAGAUGAAUUAUAUUAAAUAUAAUUUAAGGAUUAAUAAUACAAAAACAUUUUAUAAAAAGAGAUUUAAAAGUAAUUUUUAAAUAAUAUUUACAAUUGAAUAAAGAAAUAUGUGUGC
rnacentral:rRNA from 1 species